UUUCCGUAGGUGAACCUGCGGAAGGAUCAUUAACGUACAAAAUGUGAGGGGCAUGCGAGGGAUGUCGCUUACCCACAAGGCGUGCACGCCCGAGUGUGUCCUCUUCCAUAAUAAUCCAUUUCACCCUUUGUGCAUCACCGCGUGGGCACGCGUCGGGAUCAUCUCGGAGGGGGGCGCGCGUUUUAACCCAAACCCUCCUAUUAAAAGUGUAGAAUGACCACAUUUAUGCAAUCAACACAACUUUCAACAACGGAUCUCUUGGCUCUC
rnacentral:misc_RNA from 1 species